ensembl:lncRNA
GCCGCCGCUGGCCCGUGUGGAGACGCCGUCUGUGGCGGGGUGAUCACGUCGUCACGAGGGGCCGGCAGAAGUCCCGGAGGGGAAAUAUGUCUGCGUGAGUGUUUGGGACCGACGAUCCUAAGACGCAGCCGCCCCGAGCAGCCUCACUGCCUGAGGUGGCCCUGCUGGCCCGGCAUCGGCAUCUCCUGUACUGCCUGAGGGGUGGCCCUCGGACAUGGCGGCCGCUGCCUCUGCACUGCCACCUCUAGCUGGAAUAUGACUCACAGCAGUUCAGACGUUACGUUCCGAGGGCACAGAGGCCCUGUCAGUCACAUCCAGCCCACUCCGUUGGAGUGGGAGCACAGCCCUAGAAGGUCACUGAGCCCCAGCGUCUGCCAGCACACCUGCCACUGCAACCAGGGCAAGCGGCCUUUAAAUAACCCUUUUUGUCCCUUUCCACCUGUUGUGGAAGAGCUCAGUGCAGCCUCAUAGCUACAGUGAGCCCUGUUUUGCUCUUAAAGUAACAGCUGAGCCACUCUUUUCUACCAAAAAUGCUGCAUAUCACUCGCAAGUGAAUAUCAUGAUGCAGAUCAAGCUAAGAAACAGACACAGCUUUGAUGAAGUAGAAACUUGCCCUUUGUGGUUUGCUUUCCAGUCACACAACAUUCUCACAUUCUCUCUGCCUCCCUUUCCUUUCCUUGGCCGCCUCCUCAAGUUGCCCUUCCAAUGCACUUAGCCAACAAGGCCUGGAUCAGCUCCUGCCUCCUCAGAGGCACCACUAUAGUAUCCCACUUCCCGUUCACACCUUUUGCUUCCAAAUCCCAAGGUUUUUUUCCUUUGUGUUCCUUGCUGUCACUUCCUGCCAGCUACGUCUGCUCCCACUGCCACCCACAACUGCUGUGGCACAACCACAGUUUGCACUGUGCUUCCCCAUGCAAACAGGAGAGGAGCUGCCACCUGUGCUAGACAAAGCAACAAAGCAUCACAACUUAAUGCAAGAUGAUCAACUUCUCCCCUCGAGGGUGGUCUCAAGGCCUUCCUGAUACCCAACACAGCAACAAAGCUUCUCUUGUGCUCUGUCUGCAUCUCCCGAGAUUGAUUAAUAUGGAUGUUUUCACACUCAGACAAGGUAAGGUAAGCUCAAGUACGCAGCAUGAUUUUCUUUCUUCUGUUUUCCUUUAAUCUCUUCACUAUGCAACUGUGUAUGUUUGCUUUUUUUCCCUUUUUAUCACUGGUAAUAUACUAUUCUGUUCUAUAGAUUGGUCUUUCAAGGUCCACAAUUUGAAAAUGUAGGCUGUAUAACUGAAAGCCAGUUCUGUGAUGAUCAAAGGGACAUAUGCUUACUCCCUACUACUUCUUCCACACAUAAAGCAGUAUGUAUUCCUGAAGUAUGAUUUGUCUGUUCCACUGAUGUAUACCCUUUCACCCAAACUGACCAGUUGCUUUUACAGCCUUUUCAAAGGAGAACCUCACUUUCAGUUCAGCUGCAGUCUGACUUUUGGGUAUAAUUCAUAAAAGGUCUCCCAACAACAGGUGCUUACAUACUGCUGGGGCUUGGCUCAGUUUGACAGCAACUCAUGGAAUGAUGCUUUCUCUGCACUCCCUUCAUUGCUUUAUAGAGAUGUAAUGAAAUAAAACGAAGCCACUGAGUAAGAGUAGUUGUUGAGAAGGAAGGAUGAAAGCAGAGCACCUAGUGGCUGUUGCCACUGAAUUGAUUUACUGUUUGUUCUUGCUGCACUGUCAACAUUUAUGCUCAGGAAGAACAUGACUCAAGUAUUUGUGAAAAAGCAAGCAGCACAAUUCUCAACUCAGUCUGAAACUGUUCCUCUUUGUAAGGAUCCUAAAGCCCAUGUAGUUUCAUUAAAAAGGAAGGAAAAUGGCAUCUAGUGAUAUAGAGCCUUGUUACAUGAGUUAUCUGCUGUUACACAAGGUUUUCCAGAAAUUACAUGUGAUGCUCAGACAUAAGACUAUGCUUGAUUUCAUGAUAACACUAAAAACAAACAUCCCACUUAGAAAAACUUGUUUUUGUAAUCAAUACUUAGUCAGUCACUUUCCUUCACUUCUACCUAAUGUUUUUCAUUAUCUGUAAUUAACACCUAAGGCAGUUUCAGUCCUUGAGUAACUAUUGAGGGGUUAAAAUGUACAGUUACAAUCCUGUGAAAUAAGAGAUAUGUUAAUGCGUUUGGAGAAUAUGGUGUCCUCCUCCUCUCCCCUUCUCCUGUAUAUGUAUAUAUUAUAUCAGAUAUAAUAGACAGCUCACUCUUUUUCCUGAACGACACCAUCCAAGUAGCUCUGCUGCCUGCAUCACAAGUAGCUUUUUUCCAUUGGUAUUACAGUUUGUAUUCCUGCUCUUCUCUGAACUUCAAGUUGUAUGGUUGAAGGUACAAAACUGGACUGUCUGUGGUACCUUUCCAGCUGAGUGCCCGAGUCCUCCCGUGCUGUCAAAUAAAGGAGUUAGAUCUUCACAUCCUUCGGGGUGGCAGUGACGCUCAGAUAAGUGAAGAAAACUCGUGUUCGUUUUCCUCUGUGUAUAUGUAAACGUCUGGGGGGUGUUGGCAGCUCCUGAUAGUGAUUAAUGGCCUUACAGUUUACAUAGAGUAUAGUGGUAGUUGCUUGUUGUUCUCAAGAAUGGAAUAAACAGGGCCUAUUCAUAAAGACAGUCUCCUCUUUGAUGCAGAAGUUCAGAUCUCCCAAUGUUUCUUUCUUUAGAUAGAUAUAUUACUACAAGACAGAGACAUAAUUGGUAAUUGUGCCUAGUUUUUGUAACAUCAGCUGUACCUAUUAAACGUGGACCCUUGAUUUGGUGAGCGAAGCCAGAAAACGUGCUAAAUCCUCACAAAUACAAUGUAAUGGUGUGUGAAAAAGCGAAGAAUAAAUUUCCCACUAAGUAUUCCUGCUAUACAGAAUGGGCACACAUAAAAUCAUGCAAGUCAGCGUGAUGAAUAGCAGCUUAACGUUUUUAUAGCCCUCCAUCCAGAAGAAUCUCACAGAAAUUAUUGUAUAGAAAUAGAAAACAAGGAUCAUUUUAACACUGGGAGCCUGGUCUUCCACAGAAGCUUUGCAGGCUGACGCUCUGUAUUUGAAACAAAGAUCCCCCUGGCAGUGCAGUGCAAGACAACAUUUUUUUUUAGAGUGUAUGAAAGUUUUUAAAUGACUGAAUACACCAAGGAGUUGAAGGCUGAACAACACUUGAAGCGCACAUAAGCUCGUACUUGAUAGUAAAGUCUGACUGACAUAUCAGUGCUUACUCUAAGCAGCAGGCAGAGGCACACCGGCUGGUUUGCUGCGUGUAAUCAGUUUGACAGCCCCCAGGAAUUGCCGAGUCUCCAUGACCCUGGAAAGACAGUUUGGCACAUAUAUUAAACAAAUACCUCCCCUCCAACUGUUUAUUCAUCUCCACUAGUCACAGACCUUCCCAGCCUGCGCUCACAUUAGCACUGAGUGGUUAGAUAAUGAUGGAAGAAUCUUCCACGUGUCCUCACAGUUGUUGCAGUCAGAACCCUCAGAUGAAAAUACUGCCGGAUUAAAUACUGCCUUUGAAGCAGGAUGGUGCUUCAGUAGCAGAGACAACACAGUGAGUAAUGUCGUAUAAUUGAGUAAAUCCAAUGAUUCCGUUGGGAUUUUUUUUUCCCCUUAGUUUUUGGCUAAGUUCCCAUUAGAUGUAGUUGCUAAACUUCAUUUUUAUUCUUUCCUAAACCAACAUUUUUAACUUAGCAGAGUGCUCGCCUGUAAUCUAGGAAGAGCUGGAUGGUCAUCUGACACUUUUUCUCAUUCCCAGAUACUAGAGACAAAAAGGCAGCCUAUACAUAUACAUAUACAUAUAUAUACAUAUAAACAAUGUAAAAAUAAAAUAAAAAUUCUUAGUCAGUGAGACCUAAGACACUUCUGAACAUGAGAUGUAGGCUCUUCAGAUCUGUGAGUGCUUAUGAAUGUUUUGUUUCUUCCUUUCUCAUAAGGUGAAGGGUUGUGAGUAGUGCAGGGAGCUGAAACGAUCUGUUCCUUCCAGAAUAUAAGGGGAAAAUGCUUACUGGAAGAUUCUCUUAAAGUUACAUUUGGAAUUGUGAAAUUAAGAGUCCCUGUCCAGAGAGACGUAUCUACCUGUCCAGAUGUGCUACUGCCACUUCCAGAUGUGGAUAUCCAUCUCCUCCAGCCUGAGGAGUUCACAGCUCAAGAUGGGAUCUGGAAUAUACAAAAGACUUGUUCAGAAACAUGUAUUGGCAUGUGCCAGAGUGGUUCUUCACUAUCUGCAGUGCCCGCAGGAUACUGAGAUUUCUCUGAUGCAUUCGUACCUGCAGAUCUUCCAGCCCUUUCGUUAGGGAUACUCAAUCACUAGUUCUGCAGGACAGAAUUAGGGCCAAUCCAUUCUGUGCUGAGGCUGUGGGAGCCUUCAGCCAAGCUCAGUACGGCUAGAAUGGUUUCACAGAAAAUGUCUGAAAAACAUUAGAUUUACUUGAAACAAUCUGAUCGUUAAUCAAUACCUGUUGUAGAUGGUUUAAUGUUUGCAUUUGAGGCUCUUCUACUACAUACAAUCUUGUGGAAUGAAAGCUCUGAACAGAAGUUGUUGGACAAACUGACCACUCACAGAAGGUAUUCCUAGGUAGAACAAUCAAUCACUAACAGACACUUUCAGACUGAAAUACUGCAAUAUUAAUACUGGGAGGUACUCUGGAAUAGCUGUGCCAGCUAUGUUUUAGUGUAGAAGGACCCAAAAUAAUAAACAGAGGAAGUAGCUAUUUGCCUUUGCUUUCUGCUCUGUCCAGAGAAAGACUAAUUUCCUUGUAGCUAGGGCAGAAGGUCCAGUACUGGAUAGAGUCCUUAUAAAUAGACACUGUAGAUCUGGAUCAAAAGUACUCAAAUCAUAGAAUGGCUUGGGUUGGAAGGGAACCUCAAAGAUCGUCUAGUUCCAACCCCCUGCUGUGGGCAGGGUUGCCAACCAUUAAAUGUGUGUGAAAGCUGAAUCAAAGGUUUAGGAUAUCUAAGCAGUAGGGAUGCAGCAAUGUUGAGGAGUCACAAAACUAUACUUUCUUCUUCUGUAGGUUUUCCUUCAGAGAGCUUCAGAUAAUCAUCUCUCACUUUUCCACUCGCGGGGAAGUUAAGAAGCACACCCCUUUUCCACAAACAGAAUCCAUAAACAUUUGCUUUCCAGUACUUUAUGGCCAAUUCUCUAAACUCGUAUUUAUCACCCCCUUACUCCUAUGAAGGAAAAUUCUUGCUGAGUCCUAAACCAAGUUGAGUUCUUCCAGAUUUGGGCCCUCAGGAAGAGCCAUAAAGACCACAGUUUUACGCAGUGUAUUCCAUCCAUUGUCUUGCUACCCAGGGGCAGCAGCUUUUGUGGGAAUCACGAAGGACUUCCCUUGUUACGGAGAGCGCUAUCGAUACGUGAACUCUCAGGGGAAGUAACCUCUGUUUCUAUGCAGGAAAUAUCAGAUUAAAACAAAUACACUGAAUAUUGCUCAGUGAAGAGUGAGUAUGAUAUUUACAAUCCUGCUGCCUCCAGUUGGCGUUACUCAGACAUCCGCAGCACGUCUUGAGCUUUCUGUGGGAGUGCAGUGACAGAAGAGGUGAAACAAAAAGGAGGAGAAUGCGUAGAGAUGUCAUACACAGUUUUUGCUAUAACAAUGCAUUGUACACAUUAUUCUUUUCAUCUGAGAAUGUCAAAGCUCGUAAAAGAAUCUAGCUAAAUAUAAAAACUCUGUGAGAAAAGUAAUUCUUGUAUUGAUUAACUACAUGCCAGAGUUAUCCAGUUAUCCCUCAUUAGAGCCAGAGACAGAAUGUAGGAAUAGAGCUAGGCUUCAGCUUCAGCUACAUAAAAUGCUGCUCGAGUUGCCAACAAUGAAGAUCUGCAAGUGGAAUUUGGUUAAUUGUGUCAGUCUGUAGGAACGCUUAUUAUUUGUGGGUAUUACAAUGGCUCUGAGAGUCCUGAGAGUCCUGUAACUGCCAUCCCUUUGCGCAAGGUGCUGUCUGAACACAAAGCAAAGAGGUGGCUCUGGCUUGGAAGGAUCUGAAGUCUUUGAGGACGUUGUUUGACUCAUUUUUCUGCUAGAAGGUCCUGCUUAUACAUUCCCCCCCCCUCCCCACAUUCCUCCUCUCUUCCCCAUCGUGCUGGCCUUGGAUUGUGCCAGUGCUGGUUUUUUUGUGCAGCCUCGUGUUAAACUGAAUCGGGAACCUGAUUUCAAUUAAAAAAUAGUCCUCAGAAAAACACUUAUUUUUAACUGAGACUAAUACUCUGAUCUGUUCCCUGCUGCAGAUGCACAAAGAAUGCCACAAGAGACAAGGUCGCGUAACGGCAGUGGCACGACUGGAAAAUAAUUUCAUCUGCCUUUACAAAGAAAGCUGAGGAGGGUGUAAAACAAAGUAGAGACCGUUUCCCUCCCACCACAGCCGUACGUCUAUUAUCUGACUCACCACUUCUGGGAUUCCUUCUGGCAGUGCUGGUUUUAUUGCAAUGAAAACUCAAGCGUGUGAAAAAUAUUCCCUAUUUUCUGAGGACUGUUCUAUUCUCUGUUCACUGUUUCGUUCAGGUCAGUAUUCCUUCCUUUAAAGGUUUGGAACUAAAGAUUCAGAAAGUGCUGUUCUUAAGCCUUGUGAGAAGGACUGGCACAGUGGAAAGGAAGGGGGAAGGGAGAAAUGAAAGGGGAGGAGAGUCCAUAUCUGAAGAGAGACUCCAGACUAGAGAAAUUUUACUGACAUCCAUUCAGUAUCCAGCAGGGUCUCCUUCAAGGGCUUUUACUGAGAUCCAAAGACUCUUGCAAUUCACAGAGGCAUUUACAUGCAACGUUGCCCUCUGGGAGCUAAGGUAUAACUGUACUCCUGGAUAAUAAUAACAAAGAAUACUACCAGAUUCCCAUUGAAAUGUCAACCAGGCACUACUGUUCUAGAGAGCAACAAAGAGAUGCUAAUAUAAUUAAUUAUGAAGCCUCAGUACCCUCAUUAACACUUCUUUAGUGCCCAGAUCUUUGAAAAUCAGCUGUAUAAAGUGACUGUCAGAGUUAAUUCCUUAUAAAUUGCCUCCUGUCACUGCAGCAAGUUCUCCCAGGCCGUGGUGAUGCUGAGAAAUCUGUUGUGUGGGAUUCUUUUUUUUUUCUUCUUCUUCUUUUUUUUUUUUUUUUUGUUAGUACUGAUGCAGUCGUAUUGGUUAUUAAAAGUUUAACAUAUAAAGGUUGAAUGAGCAGGAGUUUGUCAGGAUAGGAUAGAGCAAAAUCAAAAAGCCUUUAGAUAACCCAGCUUCCAUAGACUGGUAACACAAAUAGGGAAAGUUUGAAUUGCUUAAAUGGAAAACUAAGGAAAAACAGGAACGAAAGGUGUGACAUUUGGCAUUAAGAUGUUUCCGGACCUUUUUCAAUGUGAGGAUGGCAGCCAGUUUAUAGCCUUCUCUCCUCCUACUGCCUUUACGACAGCAUUUCAGCUCCAGGCCUCAUUCCGAUGCAUCCUCCCUCCCCACCACUCCCGCUUACAAAUAUAUAUUUCAAUAGGCUUAGGCUGCACGGAGUUCCAAACCCAGCAUGUAAUGGGUACAAUUGUUUUCACGCUUUUCCACAGAGAGCCACAUUCAUGCCUUUUGGGGCUCUGCUUUGUCAUGUUCUUGCUCUUUUUUUUCUUUAAGUUAGACCGGGAUCAGAACCCUACACAAACACUAACAAAAAAGCUCAACAAACCACCUACGUUUGCAGUUCAUUCCGUUACAUCCCCCUACCAUUCCGUCUCCUAAAGGAUAUAAAGAAGCAAUCUGUUAGAGAAGAAACCUGGUCAUUAGAGAUCACUUUGCAUUUUUUGCAGCAGUAGAAACACUGAAUGGUGACGUAGCAAACUGUACACAACAGCCUGCUCAAUCUUCUGUGUACUUCUGUACUUUUGAGGAGAUUUUCUGCAGUGUAAAAUUGCAUGGGGUUAUCUGUGUUUGUACAGUGUGCUCCAAGACCCUUUGGGCUCCUUGCUAUGUGUAGGAUAACAGACUGAUCUUAAUGGGAUAUUCUUAUUCACCAUUUCAGAAGUGGCUGUAGCACCAGGUGUAAGAUGAUUUUGCUGUUCCAGCUAAACUGACAACAUGCAAACUCUUUAAACGGAGGUAAAGUUUAUAUUAACAAAAGUAGUCCUUACAAAUGGGGCUGUCCUUCCUACUGUAUUUGCUGGCAUUAUUAGGAAAAUGGUUUUAUUCUCCACUCUUAGAUCACAUAUCAACGUCUCAGUAAAGCUAUGAUGUAUUGAUCACUCAGUGUUUAUAUAAUUCAUAUUUAAUAAACAGAAGUGCAAAGGAUGCUCCAAAAGUAAUGCAUCCUAUUUUAUGAUGUUGGCCCACAAUGUCAGAGGCAGAUGGUGGUGGUAUGGCAGUAGAGGCUGAACCUUCUUGCUCAUUGCUGGCAAAAAUACACAGCUAAUGGUGGUGACUGUGUAGAAAGAUGGCGUUUUGUAACUGAGAAUUUGCUUUAUCAACUCGUGUUAUUGUACUCUUUGCAUCUGUUGUAGUUUCCAUGGAAAUAAAUAGGAGGCAUUACUUUCAGAGCAACCUAUGCUUGAAAUUAAAUAUCUAGCUUUCUGAAGAGCAGUCAAGAACUAUCACACAAAUUGUGCUUGCUUUACAUAAAUAUAAAUUCGAUAGAACUUCGUAGAAUGUAACUAUUUCAGAAUGGCCUUUUAGAAACAGCUUAUCUGCAAGAGAUGCUACUUGGACGAAUAGUACCUAUUUGCAGUGCUUUUUGAGAUAUUCAGGUGCUUCACACAUACCAACUCAAAUUUGAACAGCUGUUUGAGAUGCUAUAAACAUAGUAUGAGUUGGUAAAUUGAUACACAGAUCGGAUAAAUAAUAUUUAGUCACAUACAAUGAAUACGGAAUUAAUUUAAUGGAUCUCAGUGUUUUCUUCCAUGCUGUCAGCACUGCAGCGGGUCAGCUACCUUUUAAGGGUGGGAUGCCAGAUUGUACAUUUAUUUCUGAGAUUAGAUGGUGGGCAUGCUGAUAUAAGCUCAGCAGGAAUGAGGGGAUGCUGUGUCUAAAAAGAGAGAGCUGCUGCCAAUCAUAUUGCUGACAGUAUCUUGUCUGUGUCCAAAGCAGAGGCUCCCAGCUGCCACCACACUUGCAGCACCACGACAGCCAGAAAUUGGGAUCCCAAGCCUUUCGAUAUGCCAUGGCUCCUGGCCCUGUGCCAGCUCUUCCUUGCCGUUCAGAAUCCGCCUGCAUGGAGUCUUCACACUCCUGUGGUGGCAGCUUGCUGCCACCUGCAACAAAGCAAGCUUUCCCUAUGCUCCUUCCACAAAGGUAUCCCAUUUUUGUCACGUUGGACUGAAGUCUCUUAUUAUCGAUGUGGGAAUAGCUAUGGGAUAUACAAUACCUGUACUGUGCAAGAAAUCCUACCUAUAAUGUUUAAAAGGGACCCCUCCUCCCAUUCUGAUUCUACAAACCCUAACAGAUCUAUGACUAAUGGAGAUGGAUUAUUUUUAUAACAUAUAAUGCAUGUAUGUGCAACAGAACUUCAGAAAUGAGCCAACAUCUUUUCUGCCAAAAUUUCAAGUAUCAUUUUCAAAGCAAAC